rnacentral:rRNA from 1 species
UGGGGAAUUUUGGACAAUGGGCGAAAGCCUGAUCCAGCAAUGCCGCGUGUGUGAAGAAGGCCUUCGGGUUGUAAAGCACUUUUGUCCGGAAAGAAAUCCUUGGCUCUAAUACAGUCGGGGGAUGACGGUACCGGAAGAAUAAGCACCGGCUAACUACGUGCCAGCAGCCGCGGUAAUACGUAGGGUGCAAGCGUUAAUCGGAAUUACUGGGCGUAAAGCGUGCGCAGGCGGUUUGCUAAGACCGAUGUGAAAUCCCGGGCUCAACCUGGGAACUGCAUUGGUGACUGGCAGGCUAGAGUAUGGCAGAGGGGGGUAGAAUUCCACGUGUAGCAGUGAAAUGCGUAGAGAUGUGGAGGAAUACCGAUGGCGAAGGCAGCCCCCUGGGCCAAUACUGACGCUCAUGCACGAAAGCGUGGGGGAGCAAAACGGGAUUAGAUACCCUGGUAGUCCACGCCCUAAAGCGAUGUCAACUAGUUGUUGGGGAUUUCAUUUUCCUUAGUAACGUAGCUAACGCGUGAAGUUGACCGCCUGGGGAGUACGGUCGCAAGAUUAAAAACUUAAA